AUUUUUCUUGCGCUGGACGGUUGGAGGCGGAUGAUUGGAAAAGCUCCAGGUCCAGGUCGACUCGGAAAUAGUGGGCGCAUUGUUGAUACUCUUCAGGCGUUCGUUCAGAUAUCGGUUCGGAAUCGGAGGUCGGCUUUAGUUCAGUUGAAGUCGAAAAAUAAAUAUCCACGCUCCCCCACCAGACUCGAGUCGAAAGUGAAAUCCAACGUGAACGGUAAAUCAAACGCAAAGCGGCGACGACGCGCAAGAAAUAUUUUUUGAAUGGAUAGCAGCUGGAACGUGGCGACAAAACACGGUCCACAACUCCACUCCAAACAAAUCAAAUUCAAUUGCAAGUUUUAUUCAAAUCCCCAUUCAGUAAUUAGUAUCGCGGGCAGAUACUAAAGUGUCUAACAGUUCAAAACCCCAAAAAAAAGUGCAAUAAAGUUGAAAAAGCCAUCGAGCCAUUGGAGAAUUCCGUCGAGAAGAGGUACGAAUGCGAAACAAACAACAAUUUUGGUCUGUCAUAAAGUUUCGACUUCCUCGGAGAUUGCGCAAGAACAGGC
rnacentral:sRNA from 1 species